GACGGGAUGGAAAAAAAUUAGGGUGCGCGUACACAUUUCCCAUUUUCAACGUUAUGCAUUUUCCCUUUUCCACAUACAGUUCAGUUGUUCCCCAUUUUCCUCCUUCCACCGUUCUCCUUCUCCCCAUGUUUUCGCUUCCGUUGUUCUUCCCCAUUUUCUCUCUUUUGCCUCUCUCUCGUGCGUUUUCUCCGCUCGUGCACCAUCUACGUCAUUCGCUCAAAUUUGCAGUUUGCAACUCCACCAUGCGCCCAAGUCCGUCGUCUCCUUGAGGGAAUGUCAACUAUGAAGUUGGAAUUAAAUGGCUCAUUGGUCGUGAGAAUGAUCUAGAUAUAGAUCGAAUGCCCAUGGUAGCAGUAUAGACAAUGACAUUAUAUCCCCUUAACCAUUGCAUGUCACAGAGGAAAUGAGAAGAAAAACUAAGGAACUAAGGUAUGGUGUCAGAACUUGUUUAUUGUGAAAGACUUUAAUAUUUUACAUUUUUUUCAAAAUAAAAAAUAAAAUUAAUCACUAUGUCAAUUUAAUUCCACUCUAGAGCCAUGUAAAAAGUUUCCAUUCUCAUAUGUUAUACUUUAGAUUUUCAGAUGAGUUAUAUUUAUUGGGUAAACCUUUUUGAGUGAUGCACAGGGUUAACAAGUCUCAUUUAGACCUUUUUGGCCUCUUUGUAAGUUGUGUAAAUUAGUUUAUAACUCUUGGCGAUUCUCUUUUGACUGAUUUUGUUUUACAUUGGCUAGCAACCUUCAGUGAAGCUUUUGAUUCAUCUGUUGCAAUGGCAUUUUAAUUCAUUAGUGUUGACAAAUUCAUUUUGCAAAAUUCAAGUUCAACUCACUUUAUUUGAUGUUUGUUUCCAUUCUUGUGCAGUAAUGGAACUUGGCAUUCUACAUGGAAUAUUGAGUUAAAAAGUGAUUUUCAAAGCCUUGAAAAAAGAGGGCAAAUGCAGCUACUUUCAAUUACUUAAUCCAAGUGCACAAUAGAUUUAUGCCUCUCUUGCUCUAUCUCAUUUCUAGAAUGGAUUUUUUUUUUUGGCAUAGUAUUUGAAUUAUAAAAUAUGGAGGAGUUAUUUGCAAUUUUAUUAAUUUCUUGGUUAAUCUCGCCUUUUUUAGUAGGUCUUUUUGUGGAUGUUCCUUAUUAUUUAUGCUUUCUUAAUUAGAAAAGUUGGAUUGGCUAAACCUAGAUGAUAGAUAAGUUCUACAAAAGCUCUUUGAAUACAUUUGAUUUCUGUUUUACUAACAAUACUCAUUUUGGAAAUGUCCACCGUUCAUAGCAUUUGGCAAAGAAAUCACAAUCGUCUAUCGGUGGAACUUCUGAAUGGAUUGCCUUUUGAGUCCACUUCUCUUCUAGGUAAGUCCAUUUGAUUUUGUAUCAAAGUAGACACUGAUCUAUAAUGGGUAUAAAGUUAACUUUCCAUAGCGUUUAUUUUCCUAUAUAGGUGAAAAUAUUUUGAAAACUUAACAUUUGUUUUGUGCCAUUUGUAUUUAUAUAAUCAAGUGUUUGUUACUUAUUUAAAAGUUGGCUUAUAUUUGGCAAAAGUUAACAUUUGUUUGUGCCAUUUGUAUUUAUAUAAUCAAGGGUCAUUUGGUUACGUUAAAA